GGCCGGUGUUCUGGGAAUUUCUCCUACCCCGCAAACCGUCCUACCCGUUGUUCCUGAGCAUGUGCGCGCAUGCGCACAACACAUAAAGUGAAGCAAAGCGCAUCCGGCUGUGAUUUAAUGCUACCCCGUUGUCAUAUUUGCAGGAAAAUAGCUUCGGUGAAGUCUGCUGUCAAGUUACUGGACACGUUGUAUUUGCACAACACUUCUGAAUCCGCAGCUUCGAUAUGGAGAAGAAGUGGGAAGAGAUUUACGCGUUUAUUUCUGCGGGCUCCAACCCUUCAGGAUAUGACAAGGCUCAGAGGCAAAACCUCAGAAGAUAUGCCUCAAAAUUCCAACAAAAGGAUGGAGAACUCUUUGUUGGAACCAGAAGAGUAGUAAAAACCAUGGAUGAUGCCAGGAAGAUAUUUCAUGAGUUUCAUUCAUCUCCAAUUGGAGGACACACUGGCACACACAAAACGCUAAAUGCAGUGUGUUCCAGAUUUUACUGGUUUGGUAUGAUAGUUGACAUUAAAACAUGGAUUCUGGAAUGUGACCAGUGUCAAAAAGUUGGGAAACCACUGACUGCUGUGCAACCGUUGCAGUGUAUUCAGAGCCCUCCGAAAACUGGUGAAUGACCAGCAGAAUAACUGGGAUCUGUAUCUAGAUCCCACCUUGUUUUCACUGCGGUCAAAAGUACACACCACAACAAAAUACUCACCUUUUUUUCUGAUGUAUGGAAGAGAGGCAGUAUUUCCAUCAGAAGUGCCUGCUCAAGUGCCGAUUUCCAACAUCAUUCUGCCAGACGACAAAAGGUACAGUGACUAUGUACAGUCUGAAAGUGAAGCACAACAUGCAGUUAAAGAAACUGCGCAAGAAAACAUUGCGAAGUCACAAGACAAGCAAAAGGUUGCAUACGCCAAGCGGGUCCUGAAAAAGUACAAAAAUGUUGUGUACAAUGUAGAGGAUCAAAUUCUGCUUCUAAAUAUGAGGAAACGUGGGCGAAAAGGAGGAAGACUUGAACCGGAUUUUUCAGGUCCCUACACAAUUGAUGACAUCAGUGGAAAAUGUGUUGGACCGAAAAACGCUGAGGGAAAUACUUUAAAAAGUCUAUACAGUAUUGACCACAUUAAACCUUAUAGAACAAGCCACCCUGUCCAAGUCUCAACUCCAACUGAACCUGUUGAGAGUAGCCCAUCUUCUGAGAUGCAGCCUUGCAGUCCUCAGCAUCAUCCUGAAGCGCUGCAAAAUAACAGACCCUCUGUCAUACAGUUUGCACCAAAAAUAGCUCAGGUAAAAUCAGUCCAAGCACCAGAAGAGCUUGUACCAGUGACCCCCCAGAAACCCAGCACGCAAGAAAAAGUGAAGUGGCUUUGGGCUGCAAAAGACACCGGGCGUGUGGAGGCAGUCGUUGGGCCAUACAAAUUGUAUGACUCUUCUUUUCGCACACUGGAGGACAGUGGGUGGCUUUCUGAUGAGGUCAUUGAUGGAUACCUGCACUGCCUCAUUAGGAAACAAAAGGAACCCGUGUAUCAGUUGUCUUGCGUUGUUGCAACCUCUCUGUUUUCUGGGAAGUUUAAAUGUGUCACCAAGAUGUUGUUUCCGGCUGAGGACAUUUGGUUGUGCCCACUGAACUUCGGUGCACACUGGAUCCUUGUGGUUGUCAAACCUAAAAUAGGUUUGACAACCUAGUGUGGAAAAUGGAGACUCUGCCACACAACAAGCAGAUGGACUCCAGCAGUUGUGAAGUUUUAGUGUUGAAGUUUGCCGAACACUACCUUAUGAGUGGAGAGGUUACUAGGGUGCUGUCCACUCCAGAAGCCAUUGGGCUGCAACGCACAGAAAUUGCUUGCGAACUGCUAGAACAUCAAAGUAAUGCUGAUGACUACUGUGUGGUUUGUUCCAUGCUGGAAGCCGAUCCUGAGUCCAGUAUGAUUGAAAUGGUGCAGUGUGAGUUUUGUCUCAGAUGGGCACAUUUUGGAUGUGCUCAAUAUGAGAGCAGCCUGGUCAAGUACUUGUGCGACAAAUGUGCAUAAUUGUUAUGAAUACUGUUUAUUUUCCACUUCUUUCUCCCUGUGUUCUGUUGGAUCUGUAAAUAUCAAAUAUAUAUAUAUCUGUAAAUAUAUUCAGUAAAUAUAUACUGUAACUAUAAUGGAGUGAGUUCAUUGUCAAAGUUUAUAUAGUCAAGUGUUCCAAUCACUUCAAUGGUGACAGCUGUAUAACUUAAGCACCUUGGCAUGCAGACUGCUUCUACAAACAAGUGCCAAAACAUGCUACCUUUGUUAU